GGGCCAUGUGCACGGCAGCUGCCACUCUAGCCCCUUCAAAGUGGUUCUGUUGUCCAUGUACGUUCAUGAUGAUCGACGACCUCUGGUCCGUGUUUUCUCCUCACAGACCGGCAGAUGGGGCAAUCUCAUCUCAAUAGAGACUCAACCUAACACAAUGUAUGGUCCUUGUUGCCCCGACACCCUUGUUGGCAAUGUCAUUUACUGGUUGUCUAGGUAUGGGAGAGACGAUAUAGUUCAGUUUGAUUUGGAGGGGCAGAACCUUACCCUGAUCAAGGGGCCUCACAGUAUGAAUGAUUUUAGCAUAUGCCAGUGUCAGAUUAUACAGACAGAUGAGAGGAUUGUUGGUGUUGCCAUGUUAUCUAACGAUAACAUUCAAGUGUGGCAGAGGGAGGUCAAUCCUGAAGGUGUUUCCAUAUGGGUGUCCCAAAAGACAGUUGAAUUGCGUAACAUUAUUAAGACCCUUCCUCAAAAUUGGGAAACUAUGCCAUGGACCAAACUAGUGGGGUAUGAUGACGAUACCAAUGCAAUCUUUUUAUAUAUGCAUGAUAGUGCCUAUAUGGUUCAACUCAAAUCAAUGCAUUCCACAAAACUUGAUGUACCAUGCUCUAGGAAGUACUACCCUUUCAGGAGUUUCUACCUACCAGGCACAACCAUUGCUGGUGGAACUAAUGGAGCUAAUAAGUUGGGAUCAUUGUCUGGUUUGAUGUGCUAAUGCGCUAAAACGGUCCAGCAGGUGAAGGGUGCUGCAGUUGUCACUUGUUACCGAGAUUCUCGCAUCACAUCAAAUGCGGUCGACGGAGUUUAUAUGUUAUCUUCAAAAAUGUCAUCGUUCUUUAGUCUAGUCAAGUAGGUAAUAUAGCAAGAUGCUUUUGAAUACCUAAUUUGGGGUAUUUCAACUUAAUUAUCCUAGUAUCAUUUCAAGUCGGAUCUCAUCAUGUCUUGCCUUUUCUACAUGUGGGUGCUUGGUAGUAUUCUCUUUGGCCAGGAGAGUAUCUCCCCCAGUUAUUUGUAGGUUUGUGUGCUUGAAAAGAACGACAUCGCACCUCUACCAUGGUUCAAAAAUAUGUGUUGCAUGUGCUUGGCAGCUCUGGGAAUGCCAGGAUGUAGCUCUAGAUUUUUAUUUGACUUUUACAAAUUCAAGAUCUGUUGCAGAUGAAA